rnacentral:rRNA from 1 species
UACGGGGGGGGCAAGCGUUGUUCGGAAUUACUGGGCGUAAAGGGCUCGUAGGCGGCCAACUAAGUCGGAUGUGAAAUCCCCGGGCUUAACCUGGGAAUUGCGUUGGAGACUGCAAGGCUGGAGUCUGGCAGAGGGGGGCAGAAUUCCACGUGUAGCAGUGAAAUGCGUAGAGAUGUGGAGGAACACCGAUGGCGAAGGCAGCCCCCUGGGUCAAGACUGACGCUCAUGCACGAAAGCGUGGGGAGCAAACAGG